rnacentral:lncRNA from 1 species
UAAGGGAAUUACUUACAUAGUAAGCAGUGACAGUGCCAGCAGAAUUUCUUGGGACAAGUUUGAGCUGCAUGUCAAUUUUACCAAACAGAUAUUCAUUCUUGGAUUGAAAACCAGAGCCUGAGAUUUUGUCAAGUGAGAGAGUAAGGAGGUCGCCAUUGUUAAGUAUUUUUGCUCUGCCAUCACCCCAUGUAAUGUCGAAUUCUUGAUCAAACUUGGCCCCAAUUGCAAUGCCAAAAGCACUAAUCAUAAAACACAUUACAAGUACUAACUUAGAAGAAGAAGAAGCCAUGUUUAACUGUUAAGAUUUCAAAGUUUGUUGGAUGAAUUUGAGUUGAAUAGUUAUAUGGGGUUUUAUAGGGAUUUAUACCACCCCAACCUCAGCAAUAAAGAAGUAGGUAGAGCAGAGCGUGUGGGGUUAGGCUUGAGGAAGCAAAGAGGAAGGUUAAGUAAAACAGAAAACAAGGGAAAAAAUAAAGAUUUUGAGCUGGAAACAGGAUUAAAGUGACGGCAUCAAAGCUAAGUGACAGACAGACCAUAUAUUAUACUCUCACUCCUAAUUAUUUGGCUACUUUUAAAUGUGUUAAUUAUUGAUAUAAUAAAUUUACUAUUAGUGAAUGAUCAAAACAAUUAAAAUUUUCAAUAAAGUUUAUUUUUUAAAAAAUAUUUAAUUAAAAAUAUAAUAAGUAAACUUUUUAAAUUUAUUUUAAAAAAUGAACAAGUAGAGGGAGGGUGGAUAUUUCCAACCGUCAAAUUAUAUUUACAUAGCUGAUAAGUUUAAGAGAGAGUAUUGCUUAUAUUUGUAAUUUUGCUUUAAAUUAUUUUUAUUUUUUAAGAUAAUUUAAAAAUAACUAAAAGGUCAAAAAUAUAAAGUGAUAGUUCAAUUUAUGUCCUAAAUUAUAUUUCUUAAUGGGGUGCAUCCUCUCGAAAAUUUAGUUAAUACGAACUAUAAGGAGUAUAACCUAGUAAUUAGAUAGUAUAGUAAUUAUAAUGAUUUGCUUAUUUGGCAUGAUUUAUUGAUAGUGUACUUAAAAAUAUUUUUUUGAUUGCACAAAUAUAAUUAUAUAAUUAAGGAAAAAUACACAAGUACUCUCCUAUCUAUGUUUGAAAUUUUUUAGAGACACACUUUGUUGGAAUUCUUACCCCUAAAAUUGUCUAAGGAACAUGUUUAUUUCAUAUGUUCAUUUGUAGAUUACAGCAGUUACGUUUUGUGAAACAAAUAAAAUAAUAACAUAAUAUUUUAUCGCGGAAAACCUCAACUUUUAAGGGUAAAAACCACGACCUACACCUCUGUAGAAUUUAACUCCACUUUAUUAAACUUCAAGUCUCAACAAAAGAUUACAAAGCUAUGUAAUCUAAAGAAUUAUAAACUCUAAUUCCUAGCUAAGAAAUUAUAAACUCUAAUUUCUAGCUACCCACAGACAUAGAACCCCCGGUUUUAUAUCUUCUAAUGUUCUUCAAGUUCUACAACUUGUCAAACAACUCCUACUCACAAAACUCAUAUUGUAAUCAUAACUCUUAAUUACAAUCUUACAGUUCUCUUUCACAAAUUGCAAUAUUCCUAAUAAAUCUCAAAACUCUCUCAGACCUCUUGAUCGUAUUUUGAUCUUUUCUCUAUGUAAGUGCACAAUUUUUCUCAAGCGAAACUAUCGUCUAUUUAUAGAUUUGGAAUUGAAUCAAAAACCUAUUUCAACUAGAAAUCCUACUUCAUGUAGGACUGCUCUUUUGUGUAGAACCUAGUUCAACUUGAAUUUGUCUUCGCCGCAUCUUCAACUCCUUGUCUGAAUCAACAUUGUCUUUGCCUUUAUAAAACCUUGUUAAGUUCAACUUGAAUUCUUUAUCAUUGUUUGUCUUUGUUGCAACCGCUUCUUCGUUCUUCUUAAACUUAUGCUAUCGUCUCAAGAAAAACUUAUACUUAAUUUUCCUUAAAUAAGUUGCAAGGAAAACUUACAAUCAAUUUCCUUAAUUAAAAAAGAAAAUCUUCCACAAAAUUUCCUUAAUUAAAUAAGAAAAACCUUCGACAAAAAUUUCCUUAUACAUUGCCAUAAAGUUUCCUUAAUUAAAUAAGAAAACAUUAUUGAACGCUAUUUCCUUUUUCAACUUGGUUGCGAACUCCUUUAUAAAAGGAAACGUAUGUACUGGUUGCUUGUCGAAAAAGCAAUACUUCCACAGCUUUAUAUCUUCUAAUUCGCGAGGUUGACUUUCUCCUUAUCCAAGUCGGAUUCAGUCUGUAAGAGACACGUCAAACAAUCCGUUUCUUUUAUCUGAUCCUGUAUUUGUCAAUUAUCAAAAUCUUUCUCAUUUUAACAAAUUCCCCCUUUUAGAUGAUGACAAACAAUGCAUUACGAACACAACAAAUAAGACGCACAUCUUCCCUUUUUUGCCAAGUUACUGCUAGAGCUUCUUAACUUUGUCAUACUUCAAAACAACGAGACUUUAACACACUUACCUUAUACUAAAGUCCUAUUAUCACCCUGAACUUAUUUUAUAAAUAAUUUUUAUCCCUUUUCAGCCUACGUGGCACUAGCUUAAAAAAAAUGUCAACACACAAUGGGCCCACAAGAUAGUGUCACGUAGAUCUAAAAGGAGAGAAAAGUACUUAUAAAAUAAGUUCAGGGAGAUACUUGUGCAUUUUCCCUAUAAUUAAUUAUGAGCUUGUGUUUGACUCCAAAUUUUCAAAUAUGCUUGGCAAAUCAUUUUUAGUUGAAGUUUCACCAUCUGUUUGACCAUAAAAUUUUGAGAGAAAUAUUUAACUAUUUCAAAAAAUAUAAUCUAUACUCAUAACAAAAAAGAAACUAUAAUUUUGUAUUAUCAUUUUAAAAUGAACAUAUUCGUUAAAAUAUAGCCCUAUAACAUAAUUGAUAAGAAAAGCAACAAAAAAGUGUGCAUGAGCAGAACCAAGAAAAAGGAGAUUCAGAGAAGUAAAAUUUCGAAAUUGCACAAAAAGAAAAUAAAAUAAAACAAACAAAACAAAAGAGAUGGUUCAUAAAAGUAAAAUGAACAAUGAACAAACAAUUGCAUAAAAAGAAAACAAACAAUCAAAAUAACAAAGGGAAAACGAAAAACCUACCAAUUUGAAGCUUCAAAAAGUUGAGGUGUAGAAGUUAGCUGAGAAGGCGAUGGUUUACUUUUUAUUAGUUUGAUUUUUGUAUAAAUCUAAAGAUAAACAUGCAAAAUUAAUACAUGUUGAACAAUCAAUAAAAGAGGAACAAAAAGAGUCAUGAUACUUGUAAAAUGGGUAUUAAGAGCAAUACCUUAAUUGCACAUUUAAACUUGUCACUGACUAAGAAUUAAUUAUAAUCCAUUAAAUACAAUUUUUUUUUUCAAUCCUGUUAUAAGUUAUUAAUGGCGUAAUUUGAACGAUAAAAUACUAGUUUUUUUUUAUAGUAUUUGAAAACUUGGGAAAAAUAUGUUUACCAAGUAGUGGCAAGUUGGUAUAACCAAGCACCAUUUUUUCAAGUUCUUCCCAAAUAUAUUAAUGGUCAAACAUAUCCUAAAUAUUUAGACUUUUCUCACGCCUUCUCAUCAACUAAGAUAUAAAUCUAAAAUGAUGUAAAAUUCACCUUUCAUAAUGUAUCUCCAUCUCAAAGUCUCUUUAUUUUACUAUGCAUUUUCUUUAUUUGAAAAAUAAAAUUGAGGGUGUUUUCUCCAGACUCUCUCUAUUUCACUACUAAUUUCUAAUUUAUAUAAAAUUGAAUACUAGUUCUCUAAAUCAACCACAAAUAUUAGUUAUAGCUUUGAAGAGAGGCAAAGGAAUAAACAAUUCAUGGUUUUGUGAAAGAACCAAAAAUAGCACAAUUAACACAUCGUGAAAUGGAGAUGAAUUUAUCAAGAACACAUAAAAACUACAAUCGAAUCAAAGGCAAAUUGGAAGUCAUAUGCGGAAAAAUCAAUUUACACAGGCACUUCACUUAAGCUGAAAGUUGGUCACAAAGGUAAGGUAGUACAGGUAUGGAGGACCACUGAAACUUGUUAUCCAUUCUUGAGAUUUGAAAGUAAAAAAUAAAGAUUAUUAAUUGCGGAAAGGGAGAAAAAUAUAUCAAUUUUUUUACAAACGUUACAAGGGAGAUACUCGACGUAUUUUGAUGAUUUACGAUACAUCGUAGAUAGGACUAAGUUAAGGGAACUUGAUGCUGUCAUACCUGAUAUAUACUUUUGUAAAAGCAAAAGAGAAGAUACAGAGAAUAAAUCUAGAUUUCUUUUUGUUUUCCAUCUUAUUUUUUAGGCUUUGGAAGAGAACUAGCCCACUAGGUCAAAUUAGAAGAAAAAAAAGUAUCUAUUUCAUUGUUUAUAUAACUUAGUACAAAACUAAGAUGUUUCUAAUCCUCAAUAAUUAUUGCAUCUUCUUCUGAUGGGUACAAAACAAUAAAAGAAUCAAUACAAUAGUUUUUAAAGUAAUACACUAUUUUUUCAUUAUUAAUGCUCAGAUAUUCUGAACACAAUCUGCUGGAAAUCCCUGUGGAAAUCGCUUUGAAUCAGUGCAGUAAUCAUAAACCAUGUAAUUCUUCUGCACCCAUUUGAGCCUCUCUUGGCUUGUGUUAUCUAACUCUUCAUUCAACCAUGAAUUGCUUGUUGAAGUUGCAGAAAUGGAACUGCAAGAAGAUGAAGAAGUGGGAAUACAAGCAUUAGCACUGAAGUUUCUGUAAGAAGCACUAAAGGGUGCUUGGCUCCAAUCAGUCUUAACAAGUCCUCCUCUUGUAGCCCAAUCAUCUGCAUUCCAAAGACUCGAAUAUAUCCUCAUGGGUUGGUUCUUUGGAUAUGAAACUCCAAUCGAUUCACUAUUCUUGUAUUCUCUAAUUGGCGUUCCGUCCACAUAAAAUCUGUUUCAACCAUAAAAAUAAGAGACCCCAAAUCAAGAUUUAUCGCAAAAGAAUGUGUUAGAUUUGAAGAAAGUUUGAAUGUUUAACUACUUACAUGAUGCGUUGUGGAUUCCAAGUGAUGGAAUACGUGUGGAAAUCAGCAGUAGGGUCAAACCAAAGAUGAAAUUGUUGUUCUCUGUUUCCUUUGCCUUGACUAAAUACAUUAGUAUGGAGAGUAUAAGGAUCACCACUUAAAUUUCCCAAGAAUUCAAAAUCUAUUUCAUCAUGUGUUGGUCCUUGUGAUGACAACUGCAAUAGAAGAGUUGAAUUUCAGGGGAUAUUCAUGUAUAUAUAGCUCAAAAAUGAUUCAGAAAUUAAGGGAAUCACUUACAUAGUAAGCAGUGACAGUGCCAGCAGAAUUUCCUGGGACAAGUUUGAGCUGCAUGUCAAUUUUACCAAACAGAUAUUCAUUCUUGGGUUGAAAACCAGAGCCAGAGAUUUUGUCAAGUGAGAGAGUAAGGAGGUCGCCAUUGUUAAGUAUUUUUGCUCUGCCAUCACCCCAUGUAAUGUCGAAUUCUUGAUCAAACUUGGCCCAAUUGCAAUGCCAAAAGCACUAAUCAUAAAACACAUUACAAGUACUAACUUAGAAGAAGAAGCCAUGUUUAACUGUUAAGAUUUCAAAGUUUGUUG